rnacentral:rRNA from 1 species
AUUGAACGCUGGCGGCAGGCCUAACACAUGCAAGUCGAGCGGAUGAGGGAAGCUUGCUUCCCGAUUUAGCGGCGGACGGGCGAGUAAUGCCUAGGAAUCUGCCUAAUAGUGGGGGAUAACGUUCCGAAAGGAACGCUAAUACCGCAUACGUCCUACGGGAGAAAGUGGGGGAUCUUCGGACCUCACGCUAAUAGCUGAGCCUAGGUCGGAUUAGCUAGUUGGUGAGGUAACGACUCACCAAGGCGACGAUCCGUAGCUGGUCUGAGAGGAGGAUCAGCCACACUGGAACUGAGACACGGUCCAGACUCCUACGGGAGGCAGCAGUGGGGAAUAUUGGACAAUGGGCGAAAGCCUGAUCCAGCCAUGCCGCGUGUGUGAAGAAGGUCUUCGGAUUGUAAAGCACUUUAAGUUGGGAGGAAGAGUUGUAAGCUAAUAUCUUGCAGCUUUGACGUUACCAACAGAAUAAGCACCGGCUAACUCUGUGCCAGCCGCCGCCGUAACAC